rnacentral:rRNA from 1 species
GCACUUAUACCGUGAAACUGCGAAUGGCUCAUUAAAUCAGUUAUCGUUUAUUUGAUAGUACCUUACUACUUGGAUAACCGUGGUAAUUCUAGAGCUAAUACAUGCUAAAAACCCCGACUUCGGAAGGGGUGUAUUUAUUAGAUAAAAAACCAAUGCCCUUCGGGGCUCCUUGGUGAUUCAUAAUAACUUAACGAAUCGCAUGGCCUUGCGCCGGCGAUGGUUCAUUCAAAUUUCUGCCCUAUCAACUUUCGAUGGUAGGAUAGUGGCCUACCAUGGUAUCAACGGGUAACGGGGAAUUAGGGUUCUAUUCCGGAGAGGGAGCCUGAGAAACGGCUACCACAUCCAAGGAAGGCAGCAGGCGCGCAAAUUACCCAAUCCCGACGCGGGGAGGUAGUGACAAUAAAUACUGAUACAGGGCUCUUUUGGGUCUUGUAAUUGGAAUGAGUACAAUUUAAAUCCCUUAACGAGGAACAAUUGGAGGGCAAGUCUGGUGAACACUCAGCUAGUUCCAUUCUGCUGACGCCAGAGAUAGUGGGGCCUCGCCAACCUGUACGGGCGAGGUUAUGCCUGCUAGUCGAGUAUCCACAAACAGCGAUGGGUGGAUGCCGGCGAGACAACCUGGUACGGGGAAGCCUAAGGGCGCGACUUCUUUCAAGGGAUGGUCGAGCACGCCUAUGGUAAUCCCGUGGCGAGCCGGAGCAAUUCGGCCGUCGUAACGCGCGCAAAGGUGUCCGUGGUGGGCUUUCAUGCCCGCCGCGUAAGGUACGUGCUGUCCCAUCCGAAAGGAUGCCUCUGACUGGAGCGCCCAUCGCGUAAAGGUCUUAGGGGAGGUGGUCAUCCGCCUCUGGGUAAUGAUAAAACGGCCAGCAGCCGCGGUAAUUCCAGCUCCAAUAGCGUAUAUUAAAGUUGUUGCAGUUAAAAAGCUCGUAGUUGAACCUUGGGUCUGGCUGACCGGUCCGCCUCACCGCGUGCACUGGUUCGGCCGGACCUUUCCUUCUGGGGAUCCGCAUGCCCUUCACUGGGCGUGUCGGGGAACCAGGACUUUUACUUUGAAAAAAUUAGAGUGUUCAAAGCAGGCCUUUGCUCGAAUACAUUAGCAUGGAAUAAUAGAAUAGGACGUGCGGUUCUAUUUUGUUGGUUUCUAGGACCGCCGUAAUGAUUAAUAGGGAUAGUCGGGGGUAUCAGUAUUCAAUUGUCAGAGGUGAAAUUCUUGGAUUUAUUGAAGACUAACUACUGCGAAAGCAUUUACCAAGGAUGUUUUCAUUAAUCAGUGAACGAAAGUUAGGGGAUCGAAGACGAUCAGAUACCGUCGUAGUCUUAACCGUAAACGAUGCCGACUAGGGAUCGGGCGAUGUUAUCAUUUUGACUCGCUCGGCACCUUACGAGAAAUCAAAGUUUUUGGGUUCUGGGGGGAGUAUGGUCGCAAGGCUGAAACUUAAAGAAAUGACGGAA